UGUGAAGCUUAUGGGACUUUG
rnacentral:piRNA from 2 species